rfam:Mus musculus chromosome 16, GRC primary reference assembly.
UACGAGGCCUUUUUAAAGGCCACAAGGACACAGAAUUACGAUCCC